AUCGCCGGCUAAGGCCCCCAAGCGUGUGCUAAGUGGGAAAGGAUGUGCAGUCGCAAAGACAACCAGGAGGUUGGCUUAGAAGCAGCCACCCUUGAAAGAGUGCGUAAUAGCUCACUGGUCAAGUGAUUGUGCGCCGAUAAUGUAGCGGGGCUCAAGCACACCGCCGAAGCCGCGGCACAUCCACCUUGUGGUGGGUGUGGGUAGGGGAGCGUCCCUCAUUCAGCGAAGCCACCGGGUGACCGGUGGUGGAGGGUGGGGGAGUGAGAAUGCAGGCAUGAGUAGCGACAAGGCAAGUGAGAACCUUGCCCGCCGAAAGACCAAGGGUUCCUGGGCCAGGCCAGUCCGCCCAGGGUGAGUCGGGACCUAAGGCGAGGCCGACAGGCGUAGUCGAUGGACAACGGGUUGAUAUUCCCGUACCCGUGUGUGGGCGCCCGUGACGAAUCAGCGGUACUAACCACCCAAAACCGGAUCGAUCACUCCCCUUCGGGGGUGUGGAGUUCUGGGGCUGCGUGGGAACUUCGCUGGUAGUAGUCAAGCGAAGGGGUGACGCAGGAAGGUAGCCGUACCAGUCAGUGGUAACACUGGGGCAAGCCGGUAGGGAGAGCGAUAGGCAAAUCCGUCGCUCACUAAUCCUGAGAGGUGACGCAUAGCCGGUUGAGGCGAAUUCGGUGAUCCUCUGCUGCCAAGAAAAGCCUCUAGCGAGCACACACACGGCCCGUACCCCAAACCGACACAGGUGGUCAGGUAGAGCAUACCAAGGCGUACGAGAUAACUAUGGUUAAGGAACUCGGCAAAAUGCCCCCGUAACUUCGGGAGAAGGGGGACCGGAAUAUCGUGAACACCCUUGCGGUGGGAGCGGGAUCCGGUCGCAGAAACCAGUGAGGAGCGACUGUUUACUAAAAACACAGGUCCGUGCGAAGUCGCAAGACGAUGUAUACGGACUGACGCCUGCCCGGUGCUGGAAGGUUAAGAGGACCCGUUAACCCGCAAGGGUGAAGCGGAGAAUUUAAGCCCCAGUAAACGGCGGUGGUAACUAUAACCAUCCUAAGGUAGCGAAAUUCCUUGUCGGGUAAGUUCCGACCUGCACGAAUGGCGUAACGACUUCUCAACUGUCUCAACCAUAGACUCGGCGAAAUUGCACUACGAGUAAAGAUGCUCGUUACGCGCGGCAGGACGAAAAGACCCCGGGACCUUCACUACAACUUGGUAUUGAUGUUCGGUACGGUUUGUGUAGGAUAGGUGGGAGACUGUGAAACCUCGACGCCAGUUGGGGCGGAGUCGUUGUUGAAAUACCACUCUGAUCGUAUUGGGCAUCUAACCUCGAACCCUGAAUCGGGUUUAGGGACAGUGCCUGGCGGGUAGUUUAACUGGGGCGGUUGCCUCCUAAAAUGUAACGGAGGCGCCCAAAGGUUCCCUCAACCUGGACGGCAAUCAGGUGGCGAGUGUAAAUGCACAAGGGAGCUUGACUGCGAGACUUACAAGUCAAGCAGGGACGAAAGUCGGGAUUAGUGAUCCGGCACCCCCGAGUGGAAGGGGUGUCGCUCAACGGAUAAAAGGUACCCCGGGGAUAACAGGCUGAUCUUCCCCAAGAGUCCAUAUCGACGGGAUGGUUUGGCACCUCGAUGUCGGCUCGUCGCAUCCUGGGGCUGGAGCAGGUCCCAAGGGUUGGGCUGUUCGCCCAUUAAAGCGGCACGCGAGCUGGGUUUAGAACGUCGUGAGACAGUUCGGUCUCUAUCCGCCGCGCGCGUCAGAAACUUGAGGAAACCUGUCCCUAGUACGAGAGGACCGGGACGGACGAACCUCUGGUGCACCAGUUGUCCCGCCAGGGGCACCGCUGGAUAGCCACGUUCGGUCAGGAUAACCGCUGAAAGCAUCUAAGCGGGAAACCUUCUCCAAGAUCAGGUUUCUCACCCACUUGGUGGGAUAAGGCCCCCCGCAGAACACGGGUUCAAUAGGUCAGACCUGGAAGCUCAGUAAUGGGUGUAGGGAACUGGUGCUAACCGGCCGAAAACUUACAACA
rnacentral:rRNA from 1 species